rnacentral:rRNA from 1 species
CCUACGGGUGGCUGCAGUGAGGAAUAUUGGUCAAUGGCCGGAAGGCUGAACCAGCCAAGCCGCGUGAGGGAGGAAGGCGCAGAGCGUCGCAGACCUCUUUUACCGGGGGAUAAAAGACCGGACGCGUCCGCUCCUGAGGGUACCCGAAGAAAAAGCAUCGGCUAACUCCGUGCCAGCAGCCGCGGUAAUACGGAGGAUCCGAGCGUUAUCCGGAUUUAUUGGGUUUAAAGGGUGCGGAGGUGGGGCGUUAAGCCAGUGGUGAAAUUGGGGGGCUCAACCCGGGCCGGGCCGUUGAAACUGGGAGUCUUGAGUGCGGCAGAGGUAUGCGGAAUGCGCGGUGUAGCGGUGAAAUGCAUAGAUAUCGCGCAGAACCCCGAUUGCGAAGGCAGCGCGCUGUGCUGCAACUGACGCUGAGGCACGAAAGCGCGGGGAUCGAACAGGAUUAGAUACCCGGGUAGUC